AACCCGCCCUCGCAUGAAGUCGGAAUCGCUAGUAAUCGCGAGUCAGCAUAUCGCGGUGAAUACGUUCCCGGGUCUUGUACACACCGCCCGUCACACCAUGGGAGUUGGCAACACCCGAAGUCGACGAGCUAACCUUUUAGGAGGCAGUCGCCUAAGGUGGGGUUGAUAACUGGGGUGAAGUCGUAACAAGGUAUC
rnacentral:rRNA from 1 species